UCGUUUGGGUCGAUUGCAAAUUGGAGCCUUUUCUCGCCCUCAAUCCCAACCCCUCCGCCGCAGCGGCCAUGAAAAAGCUCAGGAGCUCCUCUCCUCUCAUCCAAUGGCCUCUUCACCGCCCCAUCCCACGCCCAAAACCCUACUUCCCCUCCUCCUCCUCUCAUGUAUCUUCUACUCCACCCCUGGAGCUCCGGUUCCUUUUUGAGAUUCCGUUCGGGCCGUCCCGCCGGUGAGCUCCUCUUCCCAAAUGCUCAAGCUAAUCAAUGCUUUCAGUCCGGCUUCGAUGGUAGCUGACGGCCAAUUGAUCGACACCCUCUUGAAGAACCAGCGGAAUCCAAAGGCGGCGCUGAAGCACUUCCAGUUGGCGCAGAUGAAGGGCUCCAUCUCCAGCAUUGAUUCUCUGUGCAUUUUGCUUCACAUCCUCGUAGAAACGGAUCGGCAAUCUAGCACCCGAGAACUCCUAAGGUGUUCCCUUUUGCACAGCUCUAGCCCCUCGCCGGCCACCGUGCCUCGUUAACGCGUCGAGAAGGUGCGUCUCGGAUCCUCGUUCCUUUGGUUAUCUUUUAACUUGCUAUUCGCAUGCUGGAAAGGCAGAACAAGCGCUCGAGGCUUUCGAUUGUAUGCGUCAAGGAAUGAUUUUUUGGCAGCGUUGGACACGAAGGCUCGAGAGGUUUAUCGAGUGAUAAAAGAAAAAGAAAUGGGUUUUGAUUGGUAUACAAUUGAUAUAAUGAUGCAUGCUUGCUUGAAAGAUGGGAAGUCUGAAGAAGCUCAAGUUUUCUUUCAGGAUUUGAGAGACACUGGGCUUGAACCUGAUUUGCUUGUCUAUGCCACCAUUAUUCAGUCUGUUUGCAGAAUUCCAGAUUCCACUAGAGCUUUGGAAUUGUUGAAUUCUGAUGAAAGGUAGAGGCUUUGUGCCCACACAGUUCAUUUAUACAUUUGUUGUUGGAGCGUGUGUGAAGCAAGGGAACCUUGAAGAGGCUUUGAGCCUGAAAGAUGAAUUGGUUGCGAGUGGCCGCCCUCUAAGCCUUGUGUUGGCCACUAGUUUGAUGAAAGGGUAUUGUGAUCAAGGAGAUCUUGACAAUGCCUUGGAUUUGUACACAAGUGUACUGAAGCAAGGAAUUCUUCCGAAUGUUGUUACCUAUUCUGUUUUGAUCGAUGGUUGUUGUAGAAAUGGGAAUGUUGGAAAAGCUUUUGAGCUUUAUUGUCAAAUGAAGCAAACAAGGGUGUCUCCAAAUGUCUUCAAAGUAAACACAAUUAUAAAUGGUUUCUUGAAAAAGAAUAAAUGGAAGGAGGCCCUUGUUGUGUUUGAUGGUGCUGUGAGCUUUGGUGUGGUCAAUGUUUUCACCUACAACAUUCUUAUGCAUUGGCUCUUUAACGCAGAUAAAGUGAAGGAAGCUUGCUGUGACCUGUGGGAUCAGAUGGAGGAAAGAAAUAGACGUUUGGUUGUUUCCAAUCACCAACUUCAAUGUGGUUGAUGCUGGGAUUGAGAUAGCUAAGGCAACGCAGUUGGCUGAGCUCUGCCGGAAUGUGGCUUAUACGUUGGUUGUUUGCCAGGUAGAAAGUCUUCUAAGGAAGGUGACACUGGACCAGCUAUAAGUUCAAGGAGUUGAAUUAGAGACCGAUGAAUCUGAGGUCACUAGUAAUGUUUCAUAAGAACAAAGAAUGGCCUGAUUAAUUAAGUGGAUUGUUUUGUAGUUGCAGCAUUGCAAUGGCAAGAGUUAAUCAAGCAGAACAUAGAAUGGGCUUACCGAGUCAAACAGUGGCAUGCAUGCAAAAGAGUGCUCCAAUUGCCUGUGUUUGCUAGAUGGAUGUGUGGAAGAAUGAGUAUGGGUGUAUUAAUCAUGCCCAAGUUUCUGAUUUCCUGAGUGGCCAGCGUAUGGUAGCUGAUGAUGUGGUUGAUGUCUUCUGCCUCAUGCUGAAUGAAUCUUUGAGGAAAACACCAUCGGUGUACAAGAGGCAGGGCAUUGCUACAAGACCACAAGCUUUUCAAUUAUCAAAAUUAAAGGAUGAUAACAAGAGUUUAAUAAAUUUGAUGAACAAUUCCUUGAGUGUCUACGGUCAAGUGGAGGUGGUCCUUAUUCCAAUAAUUGCUGAUAAUCACUACCAUUUCCUUGUCCUUGACAAGGAGAAGAAGGAAUAUCUGCACUUCUCAUCCAUCGCUCAAAAAAAAUAUGAUGAUGCUGCCAGAGACAUGAGGAUGGUUUUUGAGAAAUGCCUCAACAUCAUAGUCAAAAAUGAAGAACCCAAGUCCUGUUCCUUGACCUAUGUCCACAAAUGCCCACAACAAGUAGAUGGUGCUUCCUGCUCUUUAUAUUUGAUGCGGUUAAUGGAGCAAAUUCUGAAUAGAGAGGAACUCUCCUUGGAUGUCAAUGAUAUCCCAUGUUUGCGAUAUCAAUAUGCGGCAUGAAUUCUUGUGGAUGACAAUAUCCGUACAAGUGGCUGAUUUUUUUAAAAGCUUAAUUACUGAUUUUUUUUCCUCAACUUACAGUAAGUAUAUGAUCUUCUAUUUUGUUUGUAUUUUUUGUGCAGAAAAUAUGCAGGAGGUUAAGGAGAAGGAGGAGGAGGAGAAGCAAGAGGAUGAGGUUGAGAUGGUUAUGAAGGAGAAGGAAGAGGAGAAGGAGGUUGAGGAAGAGAAGUUAGAGGAGCUGAAGGUUGAUGAUUAGAAGGAAGAGGAGUAGGAGGUAGAGGAUCAGCAGUGCACUCAUUUGAUGGAUAAAAUGCAGCUGGGUCCUCGAAAAAAACAAAGAAAAGAAGUUGAACUAGAAGGCAUUCUGAGCUCUGAUAAAUUAAGGCCCUUGAAGACCCCUACAAACCUUCAACAAUUUUGUUUUAUAAGGGACGACAUUGUUAGUGGUCUUCAUAAUAUAAGAAAAAAGAAAAUUGAAGAGCACAAAAAGCAGGAAAAAAUAGAGGAUCACAGCAAAUUGUCUGUGUCAUAGUCAGAAAGCUGUGUCAAUCCUAAUGAGGAAACACCGGUUAGAAUGAAAAAAUCAAGACAAAACAAAGAAUGAGCAAGACAAAGUCGAUCAUGGCUCAUUGAAGCAGAAGCUUCUCAUUCUUGAUGUAAAUGGAGUGUUUCAUUAUCCUAGUGCCAUUUAAUAACUCCUAGACGGUUUAGGGUUUUAGGAACAAAAUUUUUUAAGUUUGGCUCUUAUGUUAUUGUGUGUUCAUGGUAUUGUGUGUUUGGGGUUUUAGGAACACAAUUUUUUAAGUUUGGUCCUCCUCAUGGUAUUGUGUGUUCAUUUUUCCUCUGUAGUUUGAAUUACUCUUGGAUAUUUCAGUUUUUAGUUUUUAUAAUUCUAA